rnacentral:tRNA from 1 species
GCGCCUGUAGCAUAUGUGGUUGAUGCGCCAGUCUUAUAAACUGGAGAAAGCGGGUUCAAAUCCUGCCAGGCGUAC